UCCGGGGUAGCUCAAUGGCAGAGCGAACGACUGUUAAUCGUUAGGUUGUGGGUUCGAGUCCCACCCCCGGAG
rnacentral:tRNA from 2 species